CUGACAUGUUUGCAAGUCAAUGGGUGAGUAAACGACAUGCAUGUAAGGCACAAGGGAGCUAAAUGGUGGGAUCCCCUAAGGGGUGCACUGCGACCACCGAUUUUGAUCUUUUGAUAGGGGUUCCAGUGUGAACAUACAUGUGGGAACACAAAUGAUGAUGAAUCAGAGAGAAACUCUAGUGGAGGCCUGCAACCAUAUUGAUGUGCAAAUCAUUCGUCUAACAUGGAGGUGAAGGAGAAAGACUAGUCGAACUGUCUAGUAACAUA
rnacentral:rRNA from 1 species